GGAACAAGCCCAACUUGAGGCCGGCAGGAAGAGCCUAACUUGGUUUCCAUGACAAAGUAUAGCCACUGCUGUUUUAUAUUACCCCUUCGUAGAUGCUGCCAAAGAAAGUGGAGUAUCCAAGGGAAGAUGUUAUAUUGGUCACCUCUUCCUUCUGGCACCUGGGUUAUUUACAGACUAAAUGAGACAGUGUAUAUCUAACAUUGCUUUGUGGAUGCUAUCAAGUGCUGGCAAAUGUGUGGGAGAAUGAAUGGAAAACUUCAUCAAUUUCUAGGAUAGUAAAUUGGUGCUGCUAUUUUGGAGAGCAAUUUGUCAGCCUUCAGGGGAAACUGAAUAUGCACAUCCUCUAAGACCCAGCAGUUUCACUUCAAAGAAAAUUUCUUAUAUGCACAGAGACUUGUACAAGGAUAUUUAUCACAGCACUGUUUGUAAUAACAAAGGGCUGGAAAUAAACCAAAUGGCCAAUGAUAAGAAUUGAUAAAUGUGGUAAAUGCCUAAAAUAGAAUGUCACACAGCAGUUAAAAAAUCAUUUAUUCACUAAUUAAGCAAAGGACAAAAAGCCUCAACAGAAAAAAAAAGACAAAAGCCUUGAAUAGUCACUUUGCCAAAUGUUCAAUACACGUACAAAAACAUGGGCAAGUUCAUUGGUUGUCAAGGAAGUUCGAAUUAAAGCCACAUUUUGCAGGUACAACACUGGCACAAGUUUAAGUCUGAUGAUACCAAGUCUUGGAGAAGGUUGAAGCUACUGGAAAACCUGCCCUCUGCUGGUGGGAGUGCAAAUUGCUCCAAGCUCUUUGGACAAUAAUUUGGCAUCCUCUAGUGAAGUUGAAGAUGUGUGUGCUUGAGACUCAGCAAUUCCCCUUUGUGACAUCAGGAUGCUCCCGCACAUAUGCUUAAGAACAUUCAUGCCAGCUUUGUUUAUAUAACAAAAACGUGGAAAUAACCCAAAUGUCUGAGGAUGGGGAAUGGACAAAUAAUGGUUCAUAGUUAUGAAAAUGAAUACACAACAGCUACAAGCAUCUACUGGAAUGAAUCUCACAUGCAUUGUGUUGUAGAAGAAUAUGUAUAAUUCCAUUUAUGUAAAGUUUAAAAGCAUGCACAACUAAAUGAUAUGUUAUUUAUGAGUAUAUGACAUAUAUGAUAAAGGCAAAGAAUAAAUAAAGUAAGGAAAGGUAAGACA
rnacentral:lncRNA from 1 species